rnacentral:rRNA from 1 species
AACGUAGGUCACAAGCGUUGUCCGGAAUUACUGGGUGUAAAGGGAGCGCAGGCGGGAAGACAAGUUGGAAGUGAAAUCCAUGGGCUCAACCCAUGAACUGCUUUCAAAACUGUUUUUCUUGAGUAGUGCAGAGGUAGGCGGAAUUCCCGGUGUAGCGGUGGAAUGCGUAGAUAUCGGGAGGAACACCAGUGGCGAAGGCGGCCUACUGGGCAUCAACUGACGCUGAGGCUCGAAAGUGUGGGUAGCAAACAGG